ensembl:lncRNA novel transcript
GCGAGAUCUGAUGGUUUUAUCAGUGGUUUCCGCUUUUCCGUCUUCCUCAUUCUCUCUUUGCCAGCUGCCAUCCACAUCAACCCUGAGGAUUGGGAAGGAAUUAUACAUACCAGGAGGCAAGGAGCACUGGGGGCCCUCCUGGGACUGCCUAUCACAGCGUCCUUAAAGCAGUAUGAUGGUACUUCCAGUACCCCAGUGACAUCUAGCCUGAGAAAGAAGCAGAGAUAAAGUCUAUAGAGGAAGAGAGCAUCUGAAUGACGUUUGAGUCCCUGGAUCCACUGUGUGAAGCCAGAGCCACUCCUAGAUCAGAUCCAGAGCCUGACAAGUUUAUUUACUUGGAGAAGCAGAUUCUAGGUUCUAGAAAAGAAGGCUGAAAAUACAACUUUAAGGGAAAGGAUAAUCUGAUGACUAAUUCUCAUUUAUCAAAAAGCCACUUUGCCUUAGAUCUAUCUCUAUAAACUCCAUGCUUCACCAUAAAAUCCUUCUAACUUUAUUGAAAAAAGGGGGCCACCUGGCAAAUAACACCAAGAGUAUUAUUUCUGGGUUCAUUUAACCCAACGACAAUUAUUUAUCUUACUAAAAUCCAUUUCUAGGUCUACAAACCUAUUGUGUAGUUCAUGAAUACAUAGGCUUUAGUCCUAGAUAGUUGGAGCAGAUCCUGGCUAUACCAAUUGUUAGCCAUAAGCCACGAUUAAUGUACUUAAGUUCUCCAAGUUUCUCAUCUUUAGAAUGGGGAUAAUAGUGCUAUUUACUUUAUAUAAUUAUUGGGAGGAGGAAAUGGCUUCAUAAAUAUAAAGAACUUAGCAAAGUGAAUGACACAUAAUAAACCAUAAAUAAUUGCAGCAACUGCUUUUAUUAGGAAGUCUUCCAGAUGUUUGUAAUAUUUGUCCAGUUGUCAUCACAGACAGAAAUAAAAGAAUAAAAAAUUUCCAUUGAGAAUUACGCUAAUUAUAUAAACAUAAUGCAUAUUCUAUGAAACUAACAGAUUCUCAGAGGUAAUUAUACAAUUUUAGGAGAAAACAUUAUUUUAAAAUUUACCAGUAAAACAUUGUUAUAAAUAUCAAUAAAAUAUUGUCCAACCUACUGAAA